UACGGGGGAUGCAAGCGUUAUCCGGAAUUAUUGGGCGUAAAGCGCCUGUAGGUGGUUUAAUAAGUCUGUUAUUAAAGACUAGGGCUCAACCCUCGGAAUGUAAUGGAAACUAUUAGACUGGAGUACGGCAGGGGCAGAGGGAAUUUCUAGUGUAGCGGUGAAAUGCUUAGAUAUUAGAAAGAACACCAGCGGCGAAGGCGCUCUGCUGGACCGUUACUGACACUCAGAGGCGAAAGCUAGGGGAGCAAAAGGG
rnacentral:rRNA from 1 species